rnacentral:rRNA from 1 species
UACGUAGGGGGCGAGCGUUGUCCGGAAUUAUUGGGCGUAAAGAGCGUGUAGGCGGUUCGGUAAGUCUGCCGUGAAAACCUGGGGCUCAACCCCGGGCGUGCGGUGGAUACUGCCGGGCUAGAGGGUGGUAGAGGCGAGUGGAAUUCCCGGUGUAGCGGUGGAAUGCGUAGAGAUCGGGAAGAACAUCAGUGGCGAAGGCGGUCUGCUGGGCCGUUGCUGACGCUGAGGCGCGACAGCGUGGGGAGCAAACAGG